rfam:Clostridia bacterium BRH_c25 BRHa_1003877, whole genome shotgun sequence.
GAGGUUAAGAAGAAGUUCCACUUCUCACCUUACAACAUUGUUAGUAAGGUUAAAGUCCAAAAGCAUUGUUUUUAUGGGCAGGUGGAUAUUUCUACCUGCUUUUUUAUUUUAAA